rnacentral:rRNA from 1 species
GGGAUAUUGGACAAUGGGGGAAACCCUGAUCCAGCGACGCCGCGUGAGUGAAGAAGUAUUUCGGUAUGUAAAGCUCUAUCAGCAGGGAAGAAAGAAAUGACGGUACCUGAGUAAGAAGCCCCGGCUAACUACGUGCCAGCAGCCGCGGUAAUACGUAGGGGGCAAGCGUUAUCCGGAAUUACUGGGUGUAAAGGGUGCGUAGACGGAAGAACAAGUUGGUUGUGAAAUCCCUCGGCUCAACUGAGGAACUGCAACCAAAACUAUUCUCCUUGAGUGUCGGAGAGGAAAGUGGAAUUCCUAGUGUAGCGGUGAGAUGCGUAGAUAUUAGGAGGAACACCAGUGGCGAAGGCGACUUUCUGGACGAUAACUGACGUUGAGGCACGAAAGUGUGGGGAGCA